AUUGAACGCUGGCGGCAGGCCUAACACAUGCAAGUCGAACGGUAACAGGAAACAGCUUGCUGUUUCGCUGACGAGUGGCGGACGGGUGAGUAAUGUCUGGGAAACUGCCUGAUGGAGGGGGAUAACUACUGGAAACGGUAGCUAAUACCGCAUAACGUCGCAAGACCAAAGAGGGGGACCCUCGGGCCUCUUGCCAUCGGAUGUGCCCAGAUGGGGUUAGCUUGUUGGUGGGGUAACGGCUCACCAAGGCGACGAUCCCUAGCUGGUCUGAGAGGAUGACCAGCCACACUGGAACUGAGACACGGUCCAGACUCCUACGGGAGGCAGCAGUGGGGAAUAUUGCACAAUGGGCGCAAGCCUGAUGCAGCCAUGCCGCGUGUAUGAAGAAGGCCUUCGGGUUGUAAAGUACUUUCAGCGGGGAGGAAGGGAGUAAAGUUAAUACCUUUGCUCAUUGACGUUACCCGCAGAAGAAGCACCGGCUAACUCCGUG
rnacentral:rRNA from 1 species